rnacentral:rRNA from 1 species
AUUGAACGCUGGCGGCAUGCCUUACACAUGCAAGUCGAACGGUAACAGGUCUUCGGAUGCUGCCGAGUGGCGAACGGGUGCGUAAUACAUCGGAACGUGCCCGAUCGUGGGGGAUAACGAGGCGAAAGCUUUGCUAAUACCGCAUACGAUCUACGGAUGAAAGCGGGGGAUCUUCGGACCUCGCGCGGCCGGAGCGGCCGAUGGCAGAUUAGGUAGUUGGUGGGAUAAAAGCUUACCAAGCCGACGAUCUGUAGCUGGUCUGAGAGGAUGAUCAGCCACACUGGGACUGAGACACGGCCCAGACUCCUACGGGAGGCAGCAGUGGGGAAUUUUGGACAAUGGGCGAAAGCCUGAUCCAGCCAUGCCGCGUGCAGGAUGAAGGCCUUUGGGUUGUAAACUGCUUUUGUACGGAACGAAAAGCCUCUUUCUAAUAAAGAGGGGUCAUGACGGUACCGUAAGAAUAAGCACCGGCUAACUACGUG